UACGUAGGGGGGCAAGCGUUGUCCGGAUUUAUUGGGCGUAAAGAGCGUGUAGGCGGCCAGGUAGGUCCGCUGUGAAAGUCGGGGGCUCAACCCUCGAAUGCCGGUGGAUACUGUCGGGCUAGAGUGCGGAAGAGGCGAGUGGAAUUCCUGGUGUAGCGGUGAAAUGCGCAGAUAUCAGGAGGAACACCGAUAGCGAAGGCAGCUCGCUGGGACGGUACUGACGCUAAGGCGCGAAAGCGUGGGGAGCGAACAGG
rnacentral:rRNA from 1 species